AGUGAACGCUGGCGGUAGGCCUAACACAUGCAAGUCGAACGGCAGCACAGUAAGAGCUUGCUCUUACGGGUGGCGAGUGGCGGACGGGUGAGGAAUACAUCGGAAUCUACUUUUUCGUGGGGGAUAACGUAGGGAAACUUACGCUAAUACCGCAUACGACCUACGGGUGAAAGCAGGGGAUCUUCGGACCUUGCGCGAUUGAAUGAGCCGAUGUCGGAUUAGCUAGUUGGCGGGGUAAGGGCCCACCAAGGCGACGAUCCGUAGCUGGUCUGAGAGGAUGAUCAGCCACACUGGAACUGAGACACGGUCCAGACUCCUACGGGAGGCAGCAGUGGGGAAUAUUGGACAAUGGGCGCAAGCCUGAUCCAGCCAUACCGCGUGGGUGAAGAAGGCCUUCGGGUUGUAAAGCCCUUUUGUUGGGAAAGAAAAGCAGCAGGUUAAUACCCCGCUGUUCUGACGGUACCCAAAGAAUAAGCACCGGCUAACUUCG
rnacentral:rRNA from 1 species